rnacentral:rRNA from 1 species
UACGUAGGUGGCAAGCGUUGUCCGGAAUUACUGGGCGUAAAGAGCGCGUAGGCGGCUUGGUAAGUCACAUGUGAAAGCCCUCGGCUCAACCGGGGAACUGCGUGUGAUACUGCCUUGCUUGAGUCCUGGAGAGGGUGGCGGAAUUCCCGGUGUAGGGGUGAAAUCUGUAGAUAUCUGGAAGAACACCAGUGGCGAAGGCGGCUUCUUGGUCCGGAACUGACGCUGAGGUGCGAAAGCGUGGGGAGCAAACAGG